rnacentral:rRNA from 1 species
AUCCCCAUAGUAAUGGCGAAUGAACAGGGAUGCGCUCAGCAUGGAAAUUUGGGCCUAUGGCUUUGACUUGUAAUCUUGUGAGGCAUUGCCAACAGAGGCGCAGAUGUAAGUCUCUUGGAAAAGAGCAUCAAUGAGGGUGAGAGUCCUGCUUGCCAUUUGCAGCCCCCCUGUGCACGGUGUGCCGCCUAAGAGUCACGUUCCUUGAGAUUGGAGCGCAAAGUGGGUGGUAACUUUCAUCUGAAGCUAAACAAUGGUUUGGGACUGAUAGGAAACAAGUACCAUGAGGGAAAGGUGAAAAGGACUUUGGAAAGAGAGUUAAAAGUGCCUGAAAUUGCUGAAAGGGAAGCGAAUGGAACCAGUGGUGUAGGGUGAGAUUGUUUCAUGCAACAAGGAUUUGUUGCUGGUCCAAUGCAAGUGUUUUGGCAAGUAUUGAGCUGUUAGUGUGUGGUGUGUCUUGCCUUGUGUGUCAUUGUGGGUUUUUGCAUUAAGACAAUUUUAAAUGCAUGGCAAUAUGUUUUUGAAUGUAUGAAUGUAUUGUGUUAUGUGUGUGCACUAGCUCUUGGCAUAUGUCUGGCUGUAAGGCUUGCUAUCCGGAACCUUAUGUUUGGAUGUGUUGAGCAUUCCUUCUGCACAGAUGUUGACUAAAUGGUUUUAUUCGACCCGUCUUGAAACACGGACCAAGGAGUUUAGCAUAUGUGCAAAUGCAUGGGCUACAAACCUGUGUGUGCAAUGAAAGUGACUGCUGGGAUAAUUGCUCCAGCAACCGACCAAUUGAUUGAGAGAGGUUUGAGUAUUAGCAUAUUUGUUAGGACCCGAAAGAUGGUGAACUAUGCCUGAGAAGGGCAAACUCAGGGGAAACUCUGAUGGAGGCUCGUAGCGGUACUGACGUGCAAAUCGUUCGUCAUAUUUGGGUAUAGGGGCGAAAGACUAAUCGAAC